rnacentral:rRNA from 1 species
GACGAACGCUGGCGGCGUGCCUAAUACAUGCAAGUAGAACGCUGAAGGAGGAGCUUGCUUCUCUGGAUGAGUUGCGAACGGGUGAGUAACGCGUAGGUAACCUGCCUGGUAGCGGGGGAUAACUAUUGGAAACGAUAGCUAAUACCGCAUAAUAUUGAUUAUUGCAUGAUAGUCAAUUAAAAGGUGCAACUGCACCACUACCAGAUGGACCUGCGUUGUAUUAGCUAGUUGGUGGGGUAACGGCUCACCAAGGCGACGAUACAUAGCCGACCUGAGAGGGUGAUCGGCCACACUGGGACUGAGACACGGCCCAGACUCCUACGGGAGGCAGCAGUAGGGAAUCUUCGGCAAUGGACGGAAGUCUGACCGAGCAACGCCGCGUGAGUGAAGAAGGUUUUCGGAUCGUAAAGCUCUGUUGUAAGAGAAGAACGAGUGUGAGAGUGGAAAGUUCACAC